UGUGGAUAGCAAACACCCACAAUUAAUAGAGCUCAUUAGUCAUUGCCAGUGUUGCCACUUUUGAAGAAGGUGGAACUUCAUUUUCAAUUUUUCGCCCGGUGGCACUGCCAUCUGUCGACAAAUGAGUUUCUGCGUGGAAUAAAAUAACACAUCCGCAAGAGGCGCUCCCACCGGUUACAAAAUCACUCUUUCACCCCGACCACCCCGACCCAAAACCACCGUUUUUUGUAUAGUGAUCCCCCGCAAGAGAGUACCCCUUUUCUGAGCAGGAAAAUAGCCAUAGUGGAGUAACCAGGGGUCUAUGACUCUGGUUUUUCAAUCCAAAUUGGAAUUGAGAGCGAACGCGCAAGUAACUAAAGUUUUACCUUUUUAGGAGCCAACUUGUCUGUCUUUGACAUUUCAGGAGUAAACUGGUAUCAAGUGAACCAUUUGCAAUGCAUUGAACUGAACCCUUUUUGUUACUAUUUUGUCGCCGUUUUAGCCACCAUUUUAAAAUAUGGCGGCGGAGGGAACGGGUUCGCACCAGAAAACAGCCCCUUCACAUCGCAUGCUGGAGAAAGCUCUUCUCUGAUCGUCCUUUUUUGGGGGAUAGCAUGCGGUGUCCCCGAUAACAGACGACUGUGGCCAAGCCCUAUACAUUCAUUUACUAUAAUUUCCCAGAAGUUGGUGUUUUGAAGAUGAUGCCGUUGAAAUGGAAACAUCAGGUAUGUUACGCAAAGGUGACGAAGGCUGGUUACGAUUGUUGCUUACACGAGACUCUGUUACUUUUCUGUUGCCUUCACCAAUACUAUGGUUGCUGCUGCUACUGUGAUCUCGCUGGUGAUGUUUAUUGCUAUUUUUUUCAGUUUUGUUUGAGGUCUGUGCACUCAAUCCAUGUCCAUCACCCAUUACAGGAGCCAACUCACGAUGCAUAAUGAAUUCGUUAUGUGAUCGGCCUUGAAACGAGUAAGACGUAGUGGUUACUAGUUGAAAGCCAAGUUUCUCCAGCCCGUCAAGGAUCAGUCUUAAUUCACAAUGGGUAGCUACAGCUCCCUUGGCCUCAGGUUUUUUCGAUACACCUCGUUGAUUCACGUGGUGCUGGUGUUGCUCCUGUUCACGAAGGAAACUAUGUAUCUCUGGAUCUAAUUCCGGUGAAUAAUCCAAGUUGAUGGGCAACGAAGAAUCCUGAAAAAUCACGUGGUAUUAUUGAAUUUUUUAUCAGCCAACUGCUCCGUGCCAGAGAAACUGGUAAGAUAAAGGGGCCUUAUCACGUAUGAUUUUAGUCUGAUGACGGCAUUGUCGUGUAACAAAGCAUACUUCAAACAUGACUCAUAACAAAUGGAAGUACUGCAUAUACUACAGUAAAACGGAAAAAAGUCAAAUGGCACACGACAGAAAUCCUUUAAAAUGCUGGAUACUACACGUGUCCAGCAGAGAAUGGUACUACGUCUUACAUUUUGUACAAAUAGCUUUACAGUUAAUAAUUUUACCCUUCAAAUACGUGGUAGGGAAAAAAAGGUUAUUAUUUUAUAUACAGUUUUGUUACUCUUACCCAUCCACCGGACUGCACCGUUACAAAAAUAUACGGCAUCGUUUCUUUGUUGAGUA